rnacentral:rRNA from 1 species
UACGUAGGUGGCAAGCGUUGUCCGGAUUUACUGGGCGUAAAGGGCGUGCAGGCGGUUUGUUAAGUGCAGGGUGAAAGCUCCCGGCUCAACUGGGAGAGGUCCUUGCAUACUGGCGAACUCGAGGGAGGCAGAGGAAAGUGGAAUUCCCGGUGUAGUGGUGAUAUGCGUAGAUAUCGGGAGGAACACCUGUGGCGAAGGCGGCUUCCUGGCCAUUCACUGACGCUGAGACGCGAAAGCGUGGGGAGCAAACAGG